GAUGAACGCUGGCGGCGUGCCUAAUACAUGCAAGUCGAGCGAAUGGAUUAAGAGCUUGCUCUUAUGAAGUUAGCGGCGGACGGGUGAGUAACACGUGGGUAACCUGCCCAUAAGACUGGGAUAACUCCGGGAAACCGGGGCUAAUACCGGAUAACAUUUUGAACCGCAUGGUUCGAAAUUGAAAGGCGGCUUCGGCUGUCACUUAUGGAUGGACCCGCGUCGCAUUAGCUAGUUGGUGAGGUAACGGCCCACCAAGGCAACGAUGCGUAGCCGACCUGAGAGGGUGAUCGGCCACACUGGGACUGAGACACGGCACAGACUCCUACGGGAGGCAGCAGUAGGGAAUCUUCCGCAAUGGACGAAAGUCUGACGGAGCAACGCCGCGUGAGUGAUGAAGGCUUUCGGGUCGUAAAACUCUGUUGUUAGGGAAGAACAAGUGCUAGUUGAAUAAGCUGGCACCUUGACGGUACCUAACCAGAAAGCCACGGCUAACUACGUGCCAGCCGCCGCCGUAA
rnacentral:rRNA from 1 species